GGAUAAAGUUCAACCUCGGACUGGACAUUCAACAGUUGGGCAAGACCUGAAGCUCACAGCAUGCACAUGAGGAAAGCAGCGUCGUACCCAUAGCUGGGCUUCGCAUGAUUCCAGUCGAGCAGCCAGCAGGGCUACCAGCUCACUGUCACUAAGGAAGAAGAGGCGGGGGAAGUGAGCACACACCCCAUAGAGCACGCUCUCCAGACUCAUGAUGAUGCCCUCCAGCUCCACCGAUCCUGCUUGCAGCAGUUGUUGCAGCUGCUGGCCUUGGAAGUAAGGGCUCCUCUCGGCACUGGGCACUACAAGUGACAGAACCAUGGGGUCAGCUACAGAGAUGCGCAUCAGGGUUCGAUACUGGUCAUCCAUGACCUUGAAACGAGAGUUCUGUGGUGAGGGAGAGGAUAAAAGUGAGGGCCAAUAUGAAGUGGCAGCUCCCCUUUCCCACGCUGAGCCCUGCUAUUCAGGAACCCUUCUUGCCCUCUCUGCCUCAACCCCCUUCCCUACCAGGUCAGCAUUAGGAAACUGGAUCUUCAUCUCAUGCAGAACUUUAUUCAGAAAAAUCCACUUCUGCUGGAAAGUCAGCCACACCUCCAGCAGGGCACCUGUGUAAGCAGCCAGAGGAAUGCUGGUGGGAAACACUAGGGUUCUACCUUCUGCAGGGGAGUCCACCCUGCUCCUGACCUCUCAGGUACCCCACCAGCCCAAGCAAAAUACUCUGCCCAGCAGGACUCAGGGAACUUGCUUGAGGGAGAAAAAACUUUCACUGUGAAUAAAAACCUGAUCUCUUCAUCCCAAGAAACAGCCCUGAAGGAGGUCCUCACUGUGUUCUUCAUAUCUUCUCCCACCCAACCUCCACCUCUCACCCCCAUCCCUCUGGGACA
rnacentral:lncRNA from 1 species